GUGUGUGUGUGUGUGUGUGUGUAUGUGUGUGUGUGUGUGUGUAAUGAGGUUCAAUGACAUAUUCAUGUUCUGCUAAUCUCCAUUCUGUGGUUUUCUGCAUGAUUCUUUUCUUGUCCUCAUCAACGUCUGAUAGGUGGAGGAGGAAGUUUGAGUGUAAAUGUGUGUUUGUGUCGGUCAUGAAGGAACUCUCCAUCCCUCCUUCAUCACAGCGACAAAGUUAAGAGGCUCUGCUGCUGAUUUCUUCUUUUUUUGCAGCAGCCAUCUUUGUUUUGGGCUUCAUGCUGCUCAGACGCUCAGAUGAUAUGACGGCUUCUCUUCUGCUGCCGUCCAUCACACAAUCAAGAACGAUAGCAAUGAGAUAUUUAACUUUUGGCCCAGAAAUCAAUCAACAAAUGAACGAGCCAGCCAAUCACAGUCAGCCAAUCACAGUCAGCCAAUCACAGUCAGCCAAUCACAGUCAGCCAAUCACAGUCAAUCACAGUCAGCCAAUCACAGUCAGCCAAUCACAGCCAACCAUUCACAGUCAGCCAAUCACAGCCAGACAAUCACAGUCAGCCAAUCACAGUCAGCCAAUCACAGUCAGCCAAUCACAGUCAAUCACAGUCAGCCAAUCACAGCCAGCGAACAACAGCACCUGUUGUACUGUGGUACUUCCUGCUGUACUACAUCUCAGAGGUACAUCUCGUACUUUGUACACCCACACACAUUGAAAGUUAUUUUACGUUUUAAAUGUAUUAAUAAAUGCAUAAAAAGAACAUUUAUUAGUUUAGUGUUAGUUUCCCAUCCUGUCGAAACACCAAACGAUAAACUUGUCUAAGCAUUUGAACACUCAUAACAAAAUAACUUUCUUUCUUCGGCUUUUUGUUUGUUAUUUUAUUAUCUCGUGAACGUCCCAAAAAUGUUAAAACCGUUUUUACCUUAAUCAAACAUUAAUCAGAUGUCACACCUUUCAGUCUGUAGAUUACUUUUAUUUUCAAGCAUUCUGCUUCUCAGCAGCAUCACAGAGGGUCUCAGCCAAUGACAGACGAGGGCAAUAAAUACGAGCCAGAGCAGCAGGGAGCCGUGUCGGCCAAUCACAGCGGGGCUACACUACCUGCCCCCGGACACCAGAACAGGAAGUGAUGUCACGGGUUUGAGGCGGAUGCGAUCAGUGGAAGGAAGCUGCAUUUAGGUCACAUGAGAGACGGUUGUUCAGAACACUUCUUUUCAUUUAUUUAAACUAAAACUUCAUUACAGGAAAUUCAUCUGAACUCCUCAAACCUCCUGAAAGUAAAAGCAGUUUUAGUUUCCCUGAUGUGACAUAAAUGCAGCAGUUUGAGCAAAGAAAGACAGAAUAAAUCUCAUGAAUAUUAAACACAAAAACACAGAAAAUCAAACUUUUUCUUUAGAACGAGACGUCACGUUGUCUCCUUACGGUUGUUUAAAGUGCAUUUUUCAGAAUGAGAAACUUUUUCAAGGUCACAUGUCAGUUAAGUCAUAUUAAUAAUAAUAAUUACAGUGAGUAAGACUUUGUACAGUUUAGCACUUAAAUAAGAGUUAAAACAUCUCCAGAAUUAUUGCACAGAAAAAAACAGCAGGGUUUUUGUUAAUAUAAAAUACCUGUAUACCUUCAAGUUUUCAAAAUAAAAGAAUAUCCUCAAAACAACACAAUUACAGGACACAGCAGAGUGGAUAUACUGUAGAAUGAUACCGUAGAUACAUGAGUGCAUUAUUCGGAUUAUUCCAGGUGUAGCUGAGGAGAUUAGAUACAGUGAAAUAUUAUUGGGAACAAAGCCUCUUACUGUAAAAAUUCUCCACUGAGAAUGUUUGAUUUAUACAGCUCUGCAAAUUCAUAACCACUGUAUUUAUUUUUGCUUUUUUUUAUUUAUGCUUCUGUGACACUCACACUUCCUGCCUGAAUGUAGGGUUUGACAAUAAAAGCCUCAAUAAGCUCUCCUUGCUUUGAAAGGCUUUUAUUGUGAAAAAUCUCCAGAAAGUAGUGUGGUGAGGGAUUAAAACCAUAAUUUAAUUAAUUAGUGGGUGAAUGAAUGACAAAAACAGGAAAUGUUCAGUCUUCUACCUUGUGUUUAGUGAACUUAAGGAUUCACACACCAGAU
ensembl:lncRNA